rnacentral:sRNA from 1 species
UUAAUGUUAGAUAAGAGUGGUGCAGUAUUCUAGUCGGUCCUCCUUUCUUGAAGGCGGGGCUAAAAAUCCGCCAAAGGGCACAUCGAUGAAGCUCCUUGUGUUGGCUUGAGGCGCCCAGCCUUGGGUCGAUGCUGGGAGAAAAGGUAGUAGGGCGAUCCGCAAAGGCAUGUGGGCGAUGACCCUCCUACUGUGGAGGCCUUUUACUCGGUCUAUACACGUGUAUAGUUCCAGGGUAAAGGGUAUGAACCUGUAAGGGCAAGUUAGGGAGCUUGUCUGCAGCGUAGCCUGCCUUGAGUGGAGGAAGAGGGGAUUAUAGACAAAGGGUUCAGAAGCUGGAGGCCAACAGAUUGUGAAUCUUACCUAUAUGAAAUCUACUCUGCAAAAGAGGAUAAAAGACUGGCAAGGGACUGUUGAGGAAAUCUCCUAGACUGUUCGAUAGACAUUUAAAGAGGAUUACAGUGUAGACUAAGUGGUAAUCUAGUCUGACGUUUGGUGACAGCGUCAACUUCAGUAU